CGCCCUUAAACAUGUCUAGAACAUAGUUCUAAAGUGUGUAUCAAUACUUGCUUCACGUGACUUCAGGCAUGAUCAGAACGCACUCAUCAAAAAAAUUGGCAGCUUUUCCAUGAGAGAAAUACCUCGAUGAGACAAAUCACUAAAAAAACGUCUCCAUUGGUUACCUGUACACAGCUUUUGUUGAUAGAAGCAAUUUUACAUACAGCGGCGUACGAAAAGGCAAGUAGUCGCACGGUUGUAUCACGAUGAGUGCGGUAACGAAAGAUCCCUGAUUAAAGCGAAUGCACAGUGCAAACAUGUUCGUGAGCGAAGAAAACGAAGCUGCCAGACAGACUUCUAAUAUCCGGAGGAACUCUGCAGUGUUGUGGACAUUUCUGCCAACAGUGCUAACAUCUGGGGACUGUUACACGUAACUGUUUCCAGCCUCCAACAGGUGUUGAGUUGUUUAUGCUAGAGUUCAAAUUGGACUUGUAACUACAUAG